CAACAGGGAUUGCCUUAGUAACGGCGAGUGAAGCGGCAAAAGCUCAAAUUUGAAAUCUGGCACCUUCGGUGUCCGAGUUGUAAUUUGAAGAAGGUAACUUUGGAGUUGGCUCUUGUCUAUGUUCCUUGGAACAGGACGUCACAGAGGGUGAGAAUCCCGUGCGAUGAGAUGCCCAAUUCUAUGUAAAGUGCUUUCGAAGAGUCGAGUUGUUUGGGAAUGCAGCUCUAAGUGGGUGGUAAAUUCCAUCUAAAGCUAAAUAUUGGCGAGAGACCGAUAGCGAACAAGUACAGUGAUGGAAAGAUGAAAAGAACUUUGAAAAGAGAGUGAAAAAGUACGUGAAAUUGUUGAAAGGGAAGGGCUUGAGAUCAGACUUGGUAUUUUGCGAUCCUUUCCUUCUUGGUUGGGUUCCUCGCAGCUUACUGGGCCAGCAUCGGUUUGGAUGGUAGGAUAAUGACUAAGGAAUGUGGCUCUACUUCGGUGGAGUGUUAUAGCCUUGGUUGAUACUGCCUGUCUAGACCGAGGACUGCGUCUUUUGACUAGGAUGUUGGCAUAAUGAUCUUAAGCC
rnacentral:rRNA from 1 species